UACGAAGGGGGCUAGCGUUGUUCGGAAUCACUGGGCGUAAAGCGCACGCAGGCGGAGCGAUAAGUCGGGGGUGAAAGCUCGGGGCUCAACCUCGGAAUUGCCUUCGAUACUGUCGGUCUCGAGGCCGGGAGAGGGGAGUGGAAUUCCUAGUGUAGAGGUGAAAUGCGUAGAUAUUGGGAAGAACACCAGUGGCGAAGGCGGCUCACUGGCCCGGUACUGACGCUCAGGUACGAAAGCGUGGGGAGCAAACAGG
rnacentral:rRNA from 1 species